UACAGAGGGUGCGAGCGUUAAUCGGAAUUACUGGGCGUAAAGCGUGCGUAGACGGUAGCGUAAGUCAGAUGUGAAAGCCCCGGGCUCAACCUGGGAAUUGCAUUUGAGACUGCUCUGCUCGGGUGCGGAAGAGGGAAGCGGAAUUUCCGGUGUAGCGGUGAAAUGCGUAGAUAUCGGAAGGAACACCAGUGGCGAAAGCGGCUUCCUGGUCCGACACCGACGUUCAGGCACGAAAGCGUGGGGAGCAAACAGG
rnacentral:rRNA from 2 species